GGGAGAUGGAGUCAGGAGUGCCGAACACCAAUGCACUGUCCACCAGGAGCUCCAGUCCACCUGGUCUGCAGAGUGCGGCUUGGGAGCCAAAUGCCAGGUACCACAGGGGACCCGAUCGCCUGGGGCAUUUCCAGGAAAUCUGCAACUUUUCGCCAACGGACAAGAAAUCAUCUGUUGAAAAAAAUAGGAACGAUAUUGUGACUCUGACCAUCUCUAUCUGCCGGCGGGUCACCUGGACCGGUUCCUCUGCUAUCUUCUCAUAGCCCAUGCCCAUUCUGGUUGGCUCCAUCUUGACGGUGUGUAAGAGCCCUUGACCGUUAAUCUGUAUGCACUCUGGUACCUGGAUCCUGACAAUGCUGGAAAGCUGAC